rnacentral:rRNA from 1 species
CAGCAGCCGCGGUAAUACCGGCGGCCCGAGUGGUGGCUACUAUUAUUGGGCCUAAAGCGUCCGUAGCCGGGCUGGUAAGUCCUCCGGGAAAUCUGGUCGCUUAACGAUCAGACUUCCGGAGGAUACUGCUGGCCUAGGGACCGGGAGAGGCCGAGGGUAUUCCCGGGGUAGGGGUGAAAUCCUGUAAUCCCGGGAGGACCACCUGUGGCGAAGGCGCUCGGCUGGAACGGGUCCGACGGUGAGGGACGAAGGCCAGGGGAGCGAACCGGAUUAGAUACCCGGGUAGUCCUGGCUGUAAACGAUGCGGACUAGGUGUCGGGCAAGCUAAGGGCUUGUCCGGUGCCGCAGGGAAGCCGUUAAGUCCGCCGCCUGGGGAGUACGGCCGCAAGGCUGAAACUUAAAGGAAUUGGCGGG